UGCUAAAAAUUCCAUCCAUUUGUAAAUUGACAUGGCUGAUGGAAUAACCAAAUAGUGAUACGUGGCAUGCCAAGUGUACAUCAUGCUAACAUAUAGGGACCAGUUUUUAACAGUAGAAAUGAAUGAAAUUUUUAAUA
rfam:Gossypium hirsutum cultivar TM-1 unplaced genomic scaffold scaffold26.1, whole genome shotgun sequence